rnacentral:rRNA from 1 species
GACGAACGCUGGCGGCGUGCUUAACACAUGCAAGUCGAACGGAAAGGCCCUGCUUUUGUGGGGUGCUCGAGUGGCGAACGGGUGAGUAACACGUGAGUAACCUGCCCUUGACUUUGGUAUAACUUCAGGAAACUGGGGCUAAUACCGGAUAGGAGCUCCUGCUGCAUGGUGGGGGUUGGAUAGUUUCGGCGGUUGGGGAUGGACUCGCGGCUUAUCAGCUUGUUGGUGGGGUAGUGGCUUACCAAGGCUUUGACGGGUAGCCGGCCUGAGAGGGUGACCGGCCACAUUGGGACUGAGAUACGGCCCAGACUCCUACGGGAGGCAGCAGUGGGGAAUAUUGCACAAUGGGCGGAAGCCUGAUGCAGCAACGCCGCGUGCGGGAUGACGGCCUUCGGGUUGUAAACCGCUUUCGCCUGUGACGAAGCGUGAGUGACGGUAAUGGGUAAAGAAGCACCGGCUAACUACGUG